rnacentral:lncRNA from 1 species
UAAAAUUUUAUUUAUAUAAAAUACUAAUUUUUAUUAUUUGAUUCAUAGUCUAACUUUAAUAUAAAGUCCAACUUAAUUAUAAAAAGUCUAUUCAUAUGUAAAGUGUCAACCAUUAGAUCAAAGUCUAAUCGGUAAGAUCUUAUAAAUUAAUGUUUUACAUAUAUUAUUUCUAAUCUUUUUAACUUGUUGCUCGUGAGAUAGCUCGUGUUCAGUUUGUUAAUAAUGAAUUGAAUACGAGCUGAAUUUUUUGGCUCGAUUUUUUAAUAAGCUAGCUC